UACGUAGGGUGCGAGCGUUAAUCGGAAUUACUGGGCGUAAAGCGUGCGUAGGCGGUUGGCAAAGUCAGCUGUGAAAGCCCCGGGCUUAACCUGGGAAUGGCGGUUGAAACUAGUCGACUAGAAUCUGGCAGAGGGGGGUGGAAUUCCACGUGUAGCAGUGAAAUGCGUAGAGAUGUGGAGGAACACCGAUGGCGAAGGCAGCCUCCUGGGCCAACACUGACGCUCAUGCACGAAAGCGUGGGGAGCAAACAGG
rnacentral:rRNA from 1 species